GUUAGAUGGGAAUGAGAACCACCAAAAGUGAAAGCGACUUGCCUGGGACUAUGGGAAGAAAACAACAACUGCAAUGGACAGUUGUUGUUUUCUUUCCACAAUCCCAGGCAUGUGGCUUUCACUUUUGGUGUCUCUCAUUUCCAUCUGGCU